rnacentral:misc_RNA from 1 species
GAAAUUUCUCUUUUUUUAGGCGCAAGUAAACUUUAUUGCAUAAUAAUGAAGCCAUAACACGCGGGAUACACAGCCAGAAGACCACGUAUCACUCUGCUGCUGAAAUUACAAUAAAACAAUAAAAGAUCUUAAGCAACCAGUAACUAAGUUUUUGAGUGGAUGGCUGGAGUUUUUUCAUAGAAAUAUGAAAAAUUACUUUUAAUCAAAGGUCCCCGCUGCUAAAAACACCGUGUGAGCAGUUGGAAUAUUUUUCUUUAACCUCGUUCACAUUGUGGACCCAGAAGAUGAGGGACAUGAAUUAUUGAAAAAUUUUCUGCUAAGUCGAGCUUUCUCAACGGAUCAAUGCCCAGUUAUUGCUGGGAUCCGGAAAAGAUAUUAUAGAGCUGAUCUAUUCACUAUCUUUAGCAUUCUUGCCCCAGUGACCAAUUCAAAACUUGAACAUUUGCCUUGUGGUUGAAAGCUCCAAACUAUUGCCAUCGGAACUGGUAACGGCCCUUAGAUCACCGCCUUAAAUCAUCAAUGACUUCUGUGUCAGACUGAUUUGUGUUCAAGGCACACUGGAGAUCGGCAUUCAAUGGUCAAAGAACUUCUGAAAGCAUCUGAUAUUUAACAUCUAAGAAUGUUUGUUUCCUGCAAUGUCCCUGGUUGUCCUAGAUUUCACCUUCACCAAAGAAAACCCAAAUCAUAAUUCCAUUUUGUAGGAUUCAACUUCCAAGCAAUAGGACUGUUUUUUAUCACAACCCACCAGCUAACUGCAGAUUACACUUGGUAUGACCAUGUGUUACACAGCAAUCUUCAAAUAACUGUAAACUUUCAAGCUGGACUUGGCACCUUCAUUGAAAUUUAUCCUCAAAAGAAUUCAAUAUGCAUUCUUUCAUUAAGAUGAAUCGAAAUUUCGGCAGCUUUUGGAUCAAAACCACAAAUGACGUCAUCUUCAGACCAAUGAAGAUAAGAUUCAACUUAGUUUUCCUAUGCUAAAGCUCAUACUGAUCCAAAUUUACCAUCACUGUCCAUGCACUAAUUGAAAAAAUAACGAAGAUGUCAUAAUUUACAGUAUAGCACCCACUUGGUCCUCUUUUAAGGAUUCUAGAUGGAAUGGUCCAGAGAAUUAUUUGUUGUUGCCCCAUUUAACUCAACGGAGCUCCAACCAGAAGGUUUUUGCACAUCUCCUUCCACCAUUAAUUCUCUCACUUUGGAAGCAUCGUCCCAUCUAUCCGAACCAGCAUAAGUAUUUGACAAGAGAACAUAAUUCACACUGUUAGAGGGAUCUAGUUCGAGAAGCUUGUUUGUAGCAAUCUCAGCUAGGACCACAUUUCCAUGAAGCUUACAUGCGCUUAACAAUAUCCUCCAAACUACAACAUCUGGAACUACUGGCAUUGCUUUUAUGAAUUCAUAGGCCCUGUCUAGGUAGCCAGAGCGGCUCAAAAGAUCCACGAUACACCCAUAAUGUUUCAUUUCUGGUGUUAAUCCAUAAACUUUUUCCAUGCUUUCAAAAUAUUCUAAUCCUUCAUCAAUCAAUCCAGCAUGAGUGCAAGCUAGUAAUAUCCCCAUGAAGCUUCCAUGACUUGGCUGAACGCCAUCUCUCAACAUCAGUGAGAAUAUCUCAAAUGCACGAUUGACAAAACCGUUAACAGCAAGGCCUGAUAUUACUGAUGUCCACGAGACACUAUCCCUCUUUUUCAUCUGGUGAAACACCUCCAGUGCUUUCUCAACAACCCCACAUUUGCAAUACAUAUCUAUUAACGCAUUCCCCACAUAAACAUCUGCUCUUAUAUCAUAUCUACAAAUAUAUUCAUGAAUUGCCAGUCCCACAUCAAGUGAACCCAAGUGAGCACAAGCAGAAAGCACAGUAGCUAUCGUAAUCUCAUCUGGUUUCACAUUAGCUUCCAUCAUAUCUUGAAAAAGCUUCACUGCAUCAGAAGAUUGAUUAGCUUGAACAUAACCUGUGAUUAUACAAGUCCAUGAAAUGACAUUCCUAACAGGCAUCUCAUAGAAAAGUUUCCUAGCAUCAAGAAGAUUCCCGACUUUUACAUACCCCGUGAUCAUUGCAUUCCAAGAGACGGCGUUUCUUUCUUUCAUCCCAUUAAAAACGCCCCGCGCCAAAUUCACUAAACCACGUCGACCAUACAUAUCUAUCAAUGUGUUGCCUAAAUAAACAUCAAUAUCCACAUGGUUAUCCUCAAUGUACUUAGCCAUAGAAUCUGCAAUAUCAUCGUGACCCAAAUAGAUACAAGCUAAUAUAACUUUUACCAUCGUAACAGCAUCAGCUUUCACAUUUGCUUCUUGCAUUGAAUUAAACAAACUUAAAACCUCCUUAAAUCUGUUACACUGACUAUAACCACAGAUCAAAGAGUUCCAAGAAACCAAGUCUCUGUUCCUCAUUUGAUCGAACACCUUCUGUGCCCAUUCCAAUUCGCCAAAAGACCCAUACAUUCGAAUCAUAGCGUUUGAUAUAAAAAGGUAGGAUUCAAACCCAAGUUUCAAAGCGUGAACAUGAAAUAUCUGACCAUUUAAAACAUCAUUAAUACGAGAACAAGCCUUGAACAAGAAGAUAAAUGUCAAAUCAUCGCCAACUAUUCCUCGAUGAUACAUUAGAUUAUAGUACAUAUCAAUUGCUUCAUUUGGUCGUUCACUUUUUGACAAACCACGGAUCAAGUUGUUAAAAAUCAAUAGUGUAGGUUGCUGAAUUUGACUAAAAACAAGAAGGGCUUUAUGGAGAUGAGAGGAAGAUAAAGCGUAAGAUCUUAUAACGUCUGACAUUGAACACGGGUCUUCCUGGAGUUGGGUUCUAAUGAGACGUGCUUGUAACUGUUUGAUCGAGUGGAUGGAAAAUGGAUUCUUGAUUACUCGCUCGGGUUUUCUGGUCGCUGAAGAGGUGGUGAAGAGGCAAGAAAU